GUUCAUGGUGGCUGUACGCAGGGCACGUUCGCGUGCGCCGGGCUCUUCAGGUACCGGUCUGCCAACCUGCGUACGGCCGCCACCCUU
rnacentral:antisense_RNA from 1 species